rnacentral:rRNA from 1 species
CCUACGGGUGGCAGCAGUGAGGAAUAUUGGUCAAUGGGCGGGAGCCUGAACCAGCCAAGUCGCGUGAGGGAAGACGGUCCUACGGAGUGUAAACCUCUUUUGCCGGGGAGCAACGGGGGCCUGGCGAGGGCCCGAUGAGAGUACCCGGAGAAAAAGCAGCGGCUAACUCCGUGCCAGCAGCCGCGGUAAUACGGAGGAUGCGAGCGUUAUCCGGAUUGAUUGGGUUUAAAGGGUGCGUAGGCGGGCUGUGAAGUCAGCGGUCAAAUGUCGGGACUCAACCCCGGCCUGCCGUUGAAACUGGCGGCCUCGAGUGGGCGAUACGUCUGCGGAAUGCGUGGUGUAGCGGUGCAAUGCAUAGAUCUUAGGAGGCACCCCAGUGGCGACGGCGGCUUACUGGACCGUAACUGACGUUGAGGCUCGAAAGCGUGGGUAGCAACCAGGAUUAGAUACCCCAGUAGUC